rnacentral:tmRNA from 1 species
GGGGACGUUACGGAUUCGACAGGGGUAGAUCGAGCUCAGGUGGCGAGCCGAGGGGACGUCUCGUAAACCGUCAUCGUAAAUAUAACUGGCAAAGAAAACAAUUACGCUUUAGCUGCGUAACGCAAGCUAAAGGAUCCUUCCUGCCAUCGCCCGUGUGGCAGAUUGAAGGGUCUCAAAAUGAGCGGGCUACGCUGGCAUCCGCCGUCUGAGGAUGCUGGAAGAGACUUUCCAGACUAGCCACUUGGAAGCCUGUCGGUAGGCUGAAGAGCUGGUGAAGAAUCAUAUACCGACUACGCUCGUAGAAGCCUGAGUGACGAUAUCUCUGGACGUGGGUUCGACUCCCACCGUCUCCAUUU